rnacentral:rRNA from 1 species
AACGAACGCUGGCGGCAUGCCUAACACAUGCAAGUCGAACGAGACCUUCGGGUCUAGUGGCGCACGGGAGCGUAACGCGUGGGAACCUGCCCUUAGGUUCGGAAUAACUCCCCGAAAGGGGUGCUAAUACCGGAUAAUGUCUUCGGACCAAAGAUUUAUCGCCUUUGGAUGGGCCCGCGUUGGAUUAGCUAGUUGGUAGGGUAACAGCCUACCAAGGCGACGAUCCAUAGCUGGUCUGAGAGGAUGAUCAGCCACACUGGGACUGAGACACAGCCCAGACUCCUACGGGAGGCAGCAGUGGGGAAUAUUGGACAAUGGGCGAAAGCCUGAUCCAGCAAUGCCGCGUGAGUGAUGAAGGCCUUAGGGUUGUAAAGCUCUUUUACCCGGGAUGAUAAUGACAGUACCGGGAGAAUAAGCUCCGGCUAACUCCGUG